UACGUAGGGUGCAAGCGUUGCCCGGAUUUAUUGGGCGUAAAGGGCGCGCAGGCGGCUACGCACGUCCGUUGUGAAAUCGCUCGGCUCAACUGGGCGGGGUCAGCGGAUACGGCGUAGCUGGAGCAAGCUAGGGGGCAAUGGAAUUCCCGGUGUAGUGGUGAAUGCGUAGAUAUCGGGAGGAACACCAGUGGCGAAGGCGGUUGCCUGGAGCUUUGCUGACGCUGAGGCGCGAAAGCUAGGGGAGCGAACGGG
rnacentral:rRNA from 1 species